GACGAACGCUGGCGGCGUGCUUAACACAUGCAAGUCGAACGGAAAGGCCCUGCUUGCAGGGUGCUCGAGUGGCGAACGGGUGAGUAACACGUGGGUGAUCUGCCCCUUACUUUGGGAUAAGCCUGGGAAACUGGGUCUAAUACUGGAUAGGACCAUGCUGUAGGUGGUGUGGUGGAAAGAUUUUUUCGGCGGUGUUGGAUGGACUCGCGGCUUAUCAGCUUGUUGGUGGGGUAGUGGCUUACCAAGGCUUUGACGGGUAGCCGGCCUGAGAGGGCGACCGGCCACAUUGGGACUGAGAUACGGCCCAGACUCCUACGGGAGGCAGCAGUGGGGAAUAUUGCACAAUGGGCGGAAGCCUGAUGCAGCAACGCCGCGUGCGGGAUGACGGCCUUCGGGUUGUAAACCGCUUUCAGCAGGGGCGAAGCUUGUGGUGACGGUACCUGCAGAAGAAGCACCGGCUAACUACGUG
rnacentral:rRNA from 1 species